GACGAACGCUGGCGGCGUGCUUAACACAUGCAAGUCGAACGAUGAACCCGGAGCUUGCUCCGGUGGAUUAGUGGCGAACGGGUGAGUAACACGUGAGUAACCUGCCCUUGACUCUGGGAUAACUGCGGGAAACUGUAGCUAAUACCGGAUACGACCCUCGGCGGCAUCGCCAGGGGGUGGAAAGAAUUUCGGUCAAGGAUGGACUCGCGGCCUAUCAGCUAGUUGGUGAGGUAACGGCUCACCAAGGCGACGACGGGUAGCCGGCCUGAGAGGGCGACCGGCCACACUGGGACUGAGAUACGGCCCAGACUCCUACGGGAGGCAGCAGUGGGGAAUAUUGCACAAUGGGCGCAAGCCUGAUGCAGCGACGCCGCGUGAGGGAUGACGGCCUUCGGGUUGUAAACCUCUUUCAGCAUCGACGAAGCGAAAGUGACGGUAGGUGCAGAAGAAGGACCGGCCAACUACGUGCCAGCCGCCGCUGUAA
rnacentral:rRNA from 1 species